CUCCUCAUUAUUGCUUCCUCUUGGCUACGUUAUGUUAAAACCUAGGUAAAAAUGGCCUUUUCAACUAGUAUUAGUUAUCCAACCAUUAUCAAUAUUCUAUCAAGGAAAUGUAGGAUGAUCAAUAAAAAAACUAUCACACAUCAGAGCUUCAGAGCACUAAAGACGAAGUUGAAAAAAACGGCAGGGAGAUCAUGGCAUGCCCAUUCACAAGUUUUGAGGGAAAGAGUAGAAAAAGUGAAGAUCAAAGAAAGAUUGGAGAAAUCUUUAACAUGUAAGCAGGGUUGGAAUUACUACUCAACUACUACAACUAGUACAUGUUAUGUCAAGAAACACAAGAAAAAAAAAUAGAUUAUGUAUCUCAAAUUGUUGAAUUCUUCUUCAUGGUAAUUUGUGGUACUCUUAGUUUCACUAUACUUUGGCUGAACUCUUUGCCUCUACCUCACCUCUAUUCUAAUUCAUAAUUUGAAUCUUUGAAAAUGAUUAAAUA